GUUAUAAUCCACGGGAGAUCCCUGAGUAUGUGAGGGCUAAGCCUUGAGACCAGGAUGUAGUUACGAAGAAGGCGAAUGAGAAAACACUCCUGUUGGGGGACAUAAAGCUGAUGUUUUGUUGCCAGGAGAAGUAAGUGUGCUCUAAUCUGCAGAGUGGUGAUCUCUCUCCACAAUGAGGAUUAAAUGCUCCCUUGUGAGUGCUCCUUAACUCUUAGGCAGCCACCACAUCCUCUGAUUCCCC
ensembl:lncRNA